UGAGAGUGGUUUUAUACAACCAACGGUCGAGAAUAUCCGCUCAAACCUUCAGGCUCGAGGCAAAACAAUCAUGACGAAGAAAAGUGCUGAAACGUCUCGAGCUGAUGUGAGACCCAAGAAACCCACCGGGGUGAAGAUCCAAGAAGGGAAACAAGAAGAGAAGAGUCAAAAGAAAGAUGAUAGCAUUGAUACUACCACGACUUCAAAACGCUCGAAGCAUGCGGUCGUCGAAUUAGACGAAGAGUAAGAUGCAAGUUUUAUUUCUAAUGUCAAUAUUAUAGCUUUCUUUCAAGUCUAUAUUCUGACAAUUCUUUACCCUCGUAAUGCAGGAAGAAAAGGA